ensembl:snoRNA
AAAGGUGCACAUGAUGCAACUUUUAAACAUGACUUUCCUGUGAUUGUUUUCAAAGUAAACGCACUGAUGCAUCCUCA